AAUCAACCGCCCCUCACAUCACCGGAUGGAUCCAGUAAUAGGAACCCACCAGAGAGAUGUCCCCGUCCUCUGUAUUCCCAGGAUUACCAACAGGAAGAUCACAACUACGCACAUCAUGAUCAGAAUGGAACACUCGGGGAUCUUAAUAUUAUUAUUAAAGAAGAGGAGGAUGAGGAGUAUGAUGUGAUGCAUCGUCACCAUGGUCAGAGUGGAAACCUUGGGAAUUAUAAUAUCAUUAUUAAAGAAGAAUAUGAAGAGGAGGAAGAGGAAUAUGGUGUGAUGGACGAGUUUUCAGAAGAACCUAUGGAUAUGAUGGAGCCACCUAGCAGCAGAAACCCACCAGAGAGAGGUCCCCGUCCUCUGUAUUCCGGGGAUUCCACAC